rnacentral:rRNA from 1 species
AGAGUUUGAGUCCUGGCUACAGAACGAACGCUGGCGGCAUGGAUUAGGCAUGCAAGUCGAACGAAGCAGCAAUGCUUAGUGGCGGAAGGGUGAGGAACGCGUGAGUAAUCUGCCCUCAAGUUGGGAAUAACAGCUGGAAACGGCUGCUAAUACCGAAUGUGGCUGCAAGACCGCAUGAUUUUGCAGUUAAAGAUUUAUUGCUUGAGGAUGAGCUCGCGUCCCAUUAGCUAGUUGGCGGGGCAACGGCCCACCAAGGCGAUGAUGGGUAGCUGGUCUGAGAGGAUGGUCAGCCACACUGGGACUGAGACACUGCCCAGACUCCUACGGGAGGCUGCAGUCGAGAAUCUUGGGCAAUGCGCGAAAGCGUGACCCAGCAAUGCCGCGUGCGCGAUGAAGGUCUUCGGAUUGUAAAGCGCUGUCAACCGGGACGAAUUUGACGGUACCGGUGAAGGAAGCCACGGCUAACUACGUGCC